CUUGCACCCAAGGGAUGAGGCCGACUUGAUCUUGGUGGAUAAGCUUUUUGAUGUAUUGCUGGAUUUGGUUUGCCAUUAUUAUAUUGAGAAUUUUGCAACAAAGUUUAUCAGAAAUAUUAAGCUAAAGUGUAGUAAAUACAUUGAAAAUAAUAACAGACUGAUUAAAAGACUAAAUAAUAUGAAUCCUAAGUGUUUUCACAACUGAUUUAUAGAGUAAAAGCAUUGCCAAACUAAAUGAGCUUGGCCAAAAACUGUACAGGGUCUGAGAUGUUGUCUCAACUUCCAUUACUCGUUGUGAGGUGGACCUGCAGUAACUAUAUUUGAUGCAAAAUUUCAUGUUGAUGGAAGCUGAGAUGUCCUGCAGUCUCAGAGGGACAGAAUUCUGGUGUGUCUCCCUUUGCCCUGUCAGGAAUAAAGAUCUAGACUCUACAGGUUUUGUCAAAAUUUACAAGAUGUAGGAAAUGGGGCAGGAUUUAGGCUGUGAGGCAAAGCCUAGAGAUAUAAAGAAACAGCUUCUGACCCAGGGCUCAUGAAGUCAGGAUAGUUUCAGAGAGGAUGGUGGAGUGAGCAUAGUACAGUCUUUGGAACCAUUCCUUCCCCUUAUUUGUUCAUAGGCCAGAUGUGCUCAACCAGGGGGCAUCUCAGGUCUGAUGAACAGAGUCCUGGAGAGACAAAGGGGCAAUCCUGAGGAAGAGGCUCAACAGGGAGGAAGGAGCCACCAUUUUCUCUCCUGAGAAAAAUCCUUCUCCCUAGGAAACCAUAGGAUUUUCCUUGGUCCCAGUGAGACUUUUCCUGAGUGAAGAGAGCAGAGAGAGCAAGGGACUGAUGUGUUAUCUGUUUCCACCUCCUGCAGUGAUUCUGAAACCAUGGGGACAGAAUUAUCUUCAGAAUCAUGAGCAAUCCAGAUGCCAUGGUUUCACACAAGACACUGGAAGUUCUUAUCUCUGGGGGGUAGGCUGGUCAUUGAUACUCUUUAAAGCUCAUUCACUGAUUACAAAGUGAGCCAAAUUAAUAAUCUACUGCAAGUUUUACUAAGCUCACUUUACUUGACACACAAUUCACACAGACACAUUGUUAAUAUACACAUUUUGAUGCUUGGACAGGGUUGGACCCAAGAUUCUGUACUUUUCUAUGGAGCCCUGUGUUCUGCCCAGGUGUCAUUUACUCUCAGGUGUGCUCUAUCAGAAGGCUUCCCCUUUCUGUUGGACAGAGUCCUGGAAGAAGAAAUGAGCGCUGCUGAGAAAGAUGCUCCACAAGGAGGAAGGAGUCACUAUUUUCAGGAGCAUGAUCCCCAGAAGCAUGAGAAAUCCAGAUGCCGUGGCUUUACACAGGAUGCUGGAGUUUCUUUCCUCUGGAUCCGGGAACUUGGCAUCAGUGUUCUGUAAUGCCCAUAACUGAUUUUGAGGAGCGAUGAGAGGCAGUUCCAAGAUGGCCGAAUAGGAACAGAUCCAGCCUCCAGCUCCCAGCGUGAGCAACACAGGAGACGGGUGAUUUCUGCAUUUCCAACUGAGGUACCGGGUUCAUCUCACUGGGGCUUGUUGGACAGUGGGGGCAGGACAGUGAAUGCAGCACACAGAGCAACAACCGAAGCAGGGCGAGGCAUCACCUCACCCAGGAAGUGCAAGGGGGAAGGGAAUUCCCUUUCCUAGCCAAGGGAAACCGUGAUACGCAGCACCUGGAAAAUUGGGUUACUCCCACGCUAACACUGUCCUUUAUCAAGGGUCUCAGCAAAUGUCACACCAGGAGAUUAUAUCCCGCAUCUGGCUUGGAGAGUCCCACGCCCACAGAGCCUCCCUCAUUGCUAGCACAGUAGUCCAAGAUCUAACUGCAAGGAGGCUGCAAGGCUGGAGGAGGGGCGCUUGCCAUUGCUGAGGCUUGAGUAGGUAAACAAAGUGGUGGGGAAGCUCAAACUGGGUGGAGCCCACCACAGCUCAAAGAGGCCUGCCUGUCUCUGUAGACUCCACCUCUGGGGAGAGGGCAUAGCCAAACAAAAGGCAGCAGAAACCUCUGCAGAUUUAAAUGUCCCUGUCUGACAGCUUUGAAGAGAGUAGUGGUUCUCCCAGCAUGGUGUUUGAGAUCUGAGAACAGACAGACUGCCUGCUCAAGUGGGUCCCUGACCCUGGAGUAGCCUAACUGGGAGACACCCCCACUAGGGUAAGAUUGACACCUCACAUCUCACACAACCGGGUACCCCUCUGAGACGAAGCUUCCAGAGGAAUAAUCAGGCAGAAACAUUUGCUGUUCAGCAAUAUUCACUCUUCUGCAGCCUCCACUGCUGCCACCUAGGCAAACAGGGUCUGGAGUGGACCUUGAGCAAACUCCAACAGACCUGUAGCUGAGGGUCAUGACUAUUAGAAAGAAAGCUAACAAACAAACAGAAAGGACAUCCACACCAAAACCCCAUCUGUACAUCAACAUCAUCAAAGACCAAAGGUAGAUAAAACCACAAAGAUGGGGAAAAAGAAGUGCAGAAAAACUGAAAAU